rnacentral:lncRNA from 1 species
CUACGCUCCUUGAAGUUAUAGUUUUUUUUAUUAGCAAAUACAGUACUCCAACACCAACCAUAAGCAUAUUAUAAUAUACUCUUUGGAGUAUAUUAUAACGUUCAACCAUAAGCAUAAGACAUAUAAAUGGUGAGAAAAAAAUAUUAAACUACAAAGAAAUAUAAAAACAACAUCGUUUGAAAUUCAAACAAGAACACACUAUCGUCCUUCUCCAACACCAACUCCUAACCAAAAAUGAAAACCAGAGCGGGGCAUUUCAGAACUGAAGCAGAAUAUAUAGAACAAUCUUUCACCGAUAAGCACCCUUGUUCAGCUAAAGGUAAACUUCGUCAACCAAACAUACUCCACACAGAUCUCAGUAAACUGCAACUCACCAAAGCAACUGGCUCGGUGGAACCGUUGGAAACCCCUGAUAUUUGCAAAAUAUCUACAUUUGCAAUAUUAUUGUGUGGCGGCCAUAAAAGACUGAAAAACGUCAGCAGGGGAAACGAGUAUUGACAUAGAGAGGAUUCUUCGGAGGAAGACAUUUACAUGUACGAACAACGCAUUUUGGAACAUAAGGAGGUACACAAGGAAAGAAUUGACAAUUAGCAUCCUCUUUGCAUUUUUUCCAAAAUGCUGUGAUAUAAAAAUAAGAAACAAAAAUUACUACAAGGAAUCAAAAUAUUUUGUAUAAGAUAAACAAGAAAAUUCAAAUGGAGACAAAUAUGAUUUACCACUAACAUCAGUUACAACAACAAACAAAGAAAUAAAAAAGAUCAUUAAAUAAGCAAACUUAAUAAUUUCAGCCAUAAUUUUUCUCCAAAGCUUGCAACAAAUAGAAAUUUAUUAAUCACUUUAAGUUGUAAAAGUUCUAUGCUUUGUUUAUUUGUGUUGAUAAAUAAUUGUGAUACUUAUAUAUCUUAAAAAAAA